CCUAAGGAAGAAACCCUAGAAUUCAGCUUUUGUGCUAACCCAAAGAGAGAGGACUCUCCUCCUCUUUUUCACGUCAUGAACUCAUGCCCAAGGCUCCUCAUCAUGAAAGCUCUCUUCUUGGUCUCUUACACACUCACAACAAAAAAUAGAUCUCUUUUUAUUAGGCAUGUAAGGAGGUAGGGUGAAGAGUCCAACAACAUUUGGACUCUUCCAUGAGAUAUCACCUCCCUUCACAAUUCCAUGCCAAUACACACCCCAAAAAAUAUAUGGGAUGCCUCCUUUCUUAUUUUUUUAUAGUAGAACCAGAUCCUAUCUCAUUUCUCAUGAAAAAUCUCCUCAAAAUAUUGCACACAUUAGGAGAAAAAAAUAAGUUGGCGACAAGAUCUUAGAGAUAAUGUCAAACAUUAUUUAUAUGGUAUCCUAUUUCAAAUCAAAUUUGAAUAUACCAUUUAAAACCUGAUCCUAUCUAAAUUUAGACGUAAGAUAGAGAAGAGAAAGAACUCUUUGACAUAAAAAAAUAUCAUGCAAAAACUAUUUCAGUAUGGAGAAAGAUGGCAUCAAAGUGGGAGGCGCAUGGAGAGGAAGAGUCCAAUCCUAUAUGGACUCUUUUUUUCCUUAUUUGAAUCUAAAGCAAAUCACAUCUGAUUUAGUCCAAAUAAAAUAUAUGAAAUCCAAUCUAAUUAGGUUCAUAAUUUUAUAAUUAAAUUUUAAUCAAAUU
rnacentral:lncRNA from 1 species